CAGCUACUUGGGAGGCUGAAGCAGGAGAAUCACUUGAACCCGGGAGGCAGAGCUUGCAGUGAGCCGAGAUCGUGCCAUUGCCCUCCAGCCUGGUGACAGAGCGAGACUCCGUCUCAGAAAAACAAAAACAAAAACAAACUGUGGCAUCUUCAAGAAGAUGGCAUUUUAUCCAAUUCCCCUUUAAUGAGAAUGUGAGCUUAAGUUAGGCUAACUUUUGUCUCUCUGUUGUCCCUAAUCGGACUAAGAAAAGCCACGUGAUCUUGAGCAGAACAAGGAACAUUUCAGCCCCCCGGCCUGUAACAGGGAAGCUCAAGAUGCCACAUGGCGAGGCUCUGCAGCCCAUCUGCUCAAACCUGCCCACACCGCACCUUGCUCCCGGGAGCCCUAAACCCCUCGCCGAGUCUCAGGCUGAGCAGGGGUCUCAGAUCUGGCUGCCCAUUAGAAACCUGGUAGGCUCUCACCCAAUGCAAAGGAUGCUGUGAUCCCCUCAGCAGGUCCUGAGAGAGGUGAGUGAUUUCUUUUUGUUAAGCUGGCCAGGUGAUUUCACUGUGAGUCCAAGGUGGAGAGCUGGGGUCUAAGUCACGCAAGCUCAGCAGGACCAGUAUCUCCCCACGGGGGCAGACAUUGGUUCAUGGGGAAUAAAAUGUCUUAAUCUUCAUAUACCUCAAUUACAGGUAAGCAUGCAAUACCCAGACAGAGAGCUUCCUAGAUGAGGGGCAAUUAGGAAAUAAUAACCUAAAACCCUCUCUAGGUAGACAAUAAUGAAAAACGGUGGUAUAUAAAUCAUAUCUAAAAAAGUCUGUGAUAAAUACACACACACACACACAUAUAUAUGUACAUGUGAUGAAAGUGUGUAAAAAAGGCGAUCUAAAUGCACCUGGCCCCACGGGGCUAAAGCCCCAGUUUUAUUAAAUGCCACUCCCAGGUGGCCGUGCUGCAUUCAGCACCAUGAUGUUAACAAACACCACAGUAAAGUCUUCUGAUUCUAUACAACCUGCUGAGGUCCACGGGAGGAGUCAAGAGGGGAAGAGGGUUUGGACCGAAAGCCGUAGCAGGGGGAGUGACCGUAUAGGCUUCUAGCGCUGCUGGACACCUGGGAAGCCCUGUUUGGCUGCGGGUGCACGCUGGUUAGGGAGGGUAGCUGGGAUGGCCUGGAUGGCUUGCAGGGGCUGCAUGUUCUCUGGGCAGAAAAGAGGCAUCUUGGUGGAGAGGCACCGUCCGUCCCUCAGGACCGUCUGUCUUUAACAUGCUCCAUACCCACCAGAGACACUUUGUGAGGUGUGCCUGUCCCUGGCACACACACCCUCCUGGGACACUUGUGGGCUAUUGUUCCUGAAGGCUGGCAGCUGAAGUCAUUCCCUGUACACCUUGACCUCCUGUUCUGUCUGGCAAAACCCAACAAUGGCACCAUGACAACAGUGCAAUCGUUGGCCACUUGGGGUGGAGGAGAGGACACCCUGCCAUCUCCUGCUGGAGGAGGAAUGAUUAUCCUCAUUACUCUUGUUGGGAUCC
rnacentral:lncRNA from 10 species